CCUACGGGAGGCAGCAGUGGGGAAUAUUGCACAAUGGGGGAAACCCUGAUGCAGCGACGCCGCGUGAAGGAUGAAGUAUUUCGGUAUGUAAACUUCUAUCAGCAGGGAAGAAAAUGACGGUACCUGACUAAGCAGCCCCGGCUAACUACGUGCCAGCAGCCGCGGUAAUACGUAGGGGGCAAGCGUUAUCCGGAUUUACUGGGUGUAAAGGGAGCGUAGACGGCUUGGCAAGUCUGAUGUGAAAACCCGGGGCUCAACCCCGGGACUGCAUUGGAAACUGUCAGGCUAGAGUGUCGGAGAGGGGAGUGGAAUUCCUAGUGUAGCGGUGAAAUGCGUAGAUAUUAGGAGGAACACCAGUGGCGAAGGCGGCCUGCUGGACGAUGACUGACGUUGAGGUUCGAAAGCGUGGGGAGCAAACAGGAUUAGAUACCCCUGUAGUC
rnacentral:rRNA from 1 species